rnacentral:sRNA from 1 species
UUAUGACAAAAUCAACCGUAUGUGCCC